UACGAAGGGGGCUAGCGUUGUUCGGAAUUACUGGGCGUAAAGCGCGCGCAGGCGGUCUUCCAAGUCAGUGGUGAAAGCCCGGAGCUCAACUCCGGAACUGCCAUUGAAACUGUUAGACUUGAGUAUGAGAGAGGUGAGUGGAAUUCCCAGUGUAGAGGUGAAAUUCGUAGAUAUCGGGAGGAACACCGGUGGCGAAGGCGGCGAUCUGGGUCGAUACUGACGCUGAGGUGCGAAAGCGUGGGGAGCAAACAGG
rnacentral:rRNA from 1 species